CCACCGCUCAAUGAAGUCUUCCGCAUUCAUCACCUUUCAAACGGAAAUAAAACUUUAACCAAAAGAGCAUGGGCAGAUAUUUCCCGGAUCUGAACAGGAAUAGCUGGUGUCUGGACUCUAUGAAGAAUCUUCAUGUGCAGUGAUAGAAGAAUAAACACAUUUGAACCAAGUUCACCAUGGAGAGAGUGAGUGGGUUGGGGAAAAGGUGUUGUAUGUUUGAGGAGCGAGGAGAAGGUGUCAAAUAAUCAUCCAGGCAGACUUUUGUAGUGCACAGUGACCGGUGACCAGCAGCAUGUGUUUCCAUAGGCAUCUUCUCUCAGUACCCCAGAAGGUGAAUUGCCAGUGAGUCCUGCCAGGAUGCCCCUCGGUGACUGCACCACCCAGUAAAAAGACAUCCCUUAACUAUGGCAAAACAACAACAACAACGACGACAAAAAACAAAACAAAACAAAACAAAACCCUGCAUCAAUUUGAUAAAUAAUCCUCCCCGUUGA